CCAGAAUCCGACCCGAUACCGAUUUCCUGAUCAACUUCAAUUCAUCAGAAAUUAGGGAUAUCAAAUUUCCCCAAUUCAUCGUCUGUUGUUCCGGAGAUCUAAAGCAAUCAAGCUAUGGGAGGCCAUGGAGGUUUGAACAUUCUUCCACAGAAGCGAUGGAACGUGUACAACUUCGAUAACCGUGAGAAAGUAAAGCGAGACGAGGAAGCCGCGGCUAAAGAGGAACAGCUCAAGCAGGAACAAUCUCGUAAGCGCGAUUCCGAGUAUCGGCUCGAGCAGCUCCGUCAAGCCCGUGGAUUAUCAUCAGCAGCAGCGCCGUCGUCUUCAUCGUCAAGUCACGUCAAAAAAUCGUCAUCAGAACAGAAAUCGCCGGAGGAGAAACCGGGAAAGAAGGAUUCUAACCACAUCAACUUGUUCGAAGGGAUUCGAAUCUUCGAUCCAGUUAAAGCAAAAGAUGAGGAGAAAGACGGAAGGGAUAAGAAGAGAGCGAAGAAAGAGCAACCGCCGAGAGUUAUUACUCCGGAGGAUGAGAAGUAUAGGUUAGGGUAUGGGAUUGUUGGUAAAGGAACGAAAUUGCCAUGGUAUUUGGAGAAACCGAAAGAGGAUUCCGGUGAAAAGAGUGACGAAGACAAUGAUUACUCCAGACCUGUGAAAAAGAGUAAUGGGAAAAAGACAGUGGAGGAAUUGCGACAAGAGAGGUUGGAGAGGGAGAGGAAGGAGAAGGGAAGAGAAAGAGCUUUGUUAAUGGAGAAGAAUCGAAGAGAUGGAGGAUUCUCGCGACGAAGAUGAGGCGGUUCAGAUGGAGAGAAAGUACAUUCUCGUGGGUAGAGCAUGAUUCCUUAUUUUUCUGGAAGAACAAAAAGUUAGAAGUAGUCUGUCUCUAUUCUAGAAGAAUUUCCGACAAGACUCUACCAAGUGAACUCUGAAGUAUUUCCAUCCUGUGUCUUCUGGUUUCAGAAAGCUUGGUAGAGGGCAAAGAACACAAUUAAAGUGGAUCUGUUGUACCUAGAAUUGUUUACUGAGAGCUCUCCAGGAAAAAGCAAGGCUGGAUGCAGUUCUAUUCUUGAUUAUGUCUAUUUUCAUUUCAACGAAACAUGUGCGAAAAGUUCCAUGGUCGCAUCGUAUCUACUUUAGUUUGGCAAGUGCAUCGGAGAGUCCAUAUCCUGUACGGAGAGCAAAUCUGCUCGAGGAAACCGUUCAGUUCAAAGGGCCUGAUUGACCUGGGAGUGGAUUAUGGAAUUCUUGCUUAGCCUGGGUUUAUACUUUCUGAAGUCAAAAACCAAUACCCCUGGGAAGCCAAUCCCAAAAAUGCUUCUGAGCAGCAAAUUGCUCUGCUUCUUCCCUUGGGUACAUGCUAUGAAAAAUUGAAUUUCCUUCUUGCAGUAGUAGUGCUCCUGUAUUGUUAGCUGGAAGUUGCUGAAGAUGUUUGUGCUUUAGAGAAUAAAUUAGGAGAGUCAUAGGCUACAGAAAACUCUCAAAGAUAAUCGGCUUUCCGAAAUCUUUAUCUAUAACAAGUCUUGAAUUUGUUAAUUUGGAUCUUUGAUUUGGCUGGGUUUUGUUUCUUUGCAAUUUUUUUAUGGUCAUGUCAUCUGUUCUAAUUGAAGAUAAUUCCCUUGAAAAUUUUGAAGGGGUCUUCUGUUGAACUUUUUUGUCAUUCUGUUUUGUUUUUCCUUAUUUCCUUUUUGGUUUUGAAGGUAUUAAUUCACUA